GCUGGGCCCUGUGGCGUCCUCCUGUAAUCCCAGUGGCUCUGGAGGCUGAGGCAGGAGGAUCAUAAGUUCAAAGUCAUCCUUUGCAAUUUAGUGAGGUCCUGUCUCAA
rnacentral:sRNA from 1 species